CCAUGGGAAAAUCGAUUUCAGGUUGAAGCUACCCCGGGUUACUUCUGCAUCAUGGAAUAAUUAAUUUUCAGAUUUAAGUGUCAGAUUUUUAAUUUUGCCCUUCACCCAUUUCGUGUCAGAUUUCUCAUUGUUAUUUUUAUACUGAUUUUUUUGUUUUAAAGCAAAACUAUGAAUCUGUGCUGGCUUUUAAAGCAAAAAUGUCAAGCGGUGAAAUGGUGCUGGUUUUCUUAAAGAUGCUGCAGCUGUUGGCUUGGGGAGAGAAAUCUUGACUGGUUAUAGAUUCUAGUACACAAGUCAAGAUUUGUCAGGACUUGGGGUUAUUUAGUUCCACAGGCAUGCCAUUCUCUCAAGAUAAAUGAAGAAAAAGUAAAAUGGAUUUGCUUUAUAUGAAUAACCUUGAUGCAAGUAUUCUUGUAUUGAGAAAACUUUAUGGUGAAAGGAAGGAAUACUUUGUCAAACAUCCUACUCUUGAUUUUUUUGAGGGUAACUCUCAAGUCUCAAGGGCUUCAGUCAAAAGUUACAAGGAUCUAUCUGCUGGGUUGCAAGAAAUCAUUUGGAAAGCAUAACCUAUCGAUGUAGAAACAGAUGGUUAGUUGCUUAGUUUCGUAUGCAAGUAAUGGUGCUUUAACAAAAUGGUUUUGGUGGCAGUAGAUUGAAGGAUUCUAUCAUGGCCAGAGUUAUACCUUAUUUUGACAUUGUAUCAGAAUUCCUUCGGAUUAUCUGUAAUGGCAUAUUUGUUACUAUUCAACUACUAGUUUAUCUACAAACUUUUGUUAUCAU